rnacentral:pre_miRNA from 1 species
AUAAUACCCCCUCCGUCCGGAAUUACUUGUCAUCAAAAUGGAUGUGUCUAGAACUAAAAUACAUCUAGAUACAUCCAUUUCAAUGACAAGUAUUUUCGGAUGGAGGGAGUAGUAG